rnacentral:snRNA from 1 species
GUGCUUGCUUCGGCAGCACAUAUACCAAAAUUGGAAUGCUACAGAGAAAAUUAGCAUGGCCCCUGCCCAGGGAUGACACCCAAAUUCAUGAAGCGUUCCUUGUUUUU